rnacentral:misc_RNA from 1 species
GUAGGUGAACCUGCGGAAGGAUCACUAAAGAGAACCUGCCCUUUGGGUAGAUCUCCCACCCUUUGUUUAUUAUACUUUGUUGCUUUGGCGGGCCUGCCUCGCGGCUGCCGGCGUGAGCUGGCUCGCGCCCGCCAGAGACCCCUAAACUCUGAAUAUUGUCGUCUGAGUAACAUAUAAUAAGUUAAAACUUUCAACAACGGAUCUCUUGGUUCUG